rnacentral:rRNA from 1 species
GACGGAGGAUGCAAGUGUUAUCCGGAAUCACUGGGCGUAAAGCGUCUGUAGGUGGUUCAAUAAGUCAACUGUUAAAUCUUGAGGCUCAACUUCAAAAUCGCAGUCGAAACUAUUGGACUCGAGUAUAGUAGGGGUAAAGGGAAUUUCCAGUGGAGCGGUGAAAUGCGUAGAGAUUGGAAAGAACACCAAUGGCGAAAGCACUUUACUGGGCUAUUACUGACACUGAGAGACGAAAGCUUGGGUAGCGAACGGG